CGCCGCCCCAGGCACUUCCGGGGAGGUGCUUCCGGGUCGCCGUGUGCCCAGCGCUGCCGGGUCCCGCGGCGGCCCCUGGCCCGGAAGCGGCUGCGCGGCCGCCGGCGGGGGGAGGAGGCGGAGGCGCCCGGCCCGGCGCGGCUCCGCGGAGCGGUAGCGCCGGCGAGGCCUGUACAUACAUCCAUGGAACAAGAUGGAGAGAAGAUAGUAUAGUGAAGUGGUGGGCUUGUGGACAGGAUGGCUUUCCUGGACAACCCAACAAUUAUACUUGCUCAUAUUCGGCAGUCACAUGUGACCAGUGACGAUACAGGGAUGUGUGAAAUGGUCCUGAUAGAUCAUGAUGUCGACCUAGAGAAGUUUAAUCCCUCGUCAACAUAUGGGGACAGUUCAGAAACACAGGGAAGCAAUGGUGAGACUCAGGGCUAUAUUUAUUCCCAAUCAGUCGAUAUUACCUCAAGCUGGGACUUUGGAAUUAGAAGACGAUCAAACACAGCUCAGAGACUAGAACGUCUGCGGAAAGAGAGACAAAAUCAAAUAAAAUGCAAAAAUGUUCAGUGGAAAGACAGAAAUACUUCUUACUCAGCAGAGGAGCUGAGCUCACUAUUUGAAAAAAAGAAUUUCAGAGUAAAAUCUCCAUGUUCUGGGAAGCAGUCAAUACUGUCUGUGCGACUUGAACAGUGUCCACUACAGCUGAAUAACCCUUUCAAUGAGUACUCAAAAUUUGAUGGCAAGGGUCAUGUUGGUACAACUGCAACCAAAAAAAUUGACGUCUACCUCCCACUGCACGCAAGCCAAGACAAACUGCAGCCUAUGACCGUUGUGACGAUAGCGAACGCCAAGGUGCAUGACCUGAUUGGACUAAUAUGCUGGCAAUAUACAAGUGAGGGACGGGAACCAAAACUAAAUGACAACGUCAAUGCCUACUGUCUCCAUAUUGCCGAGGAUGAUGGUGAGGUUGACACAGAUUUUCCACCUUUGGAUUCCAAUGAGCCCAUUCACAAGUUUGGCUUCAGCACUCUGGCAUUGGUUGAAAAGUACUCGUCUCCCGGCCUGGCAGCAAAACAGUCGCUCUUUGUUCGCAUAAAUGCUGCUCAUGGAUUCUCACUUAUUCAAGUGGACAGUAUGAAGGUCACCAUGAAGGAUAUCUUACAAAAGGCCUUAAAGAGAAGGAAGGGAUCACAAAGAGGCUCAGGUCCUCAGUAUCGGCUGGAGAAGCAGAGUGAACCUAAUGUCCCCGUAGAUUUAGACUGUACCUUGGAGAGCCAGAGCACUUUGGAAUUCUGCCUUGUCCGAGAGAACAGUUCAAGAGGAGAAGAGAUCUCGGAGGAGGACCCUCAAAUCGAUAUAGCUACAGUUCAGGAUAUGCUUAGUAGCCACCAUUACAAGUCCUUCAAAGUCAGCAUGAUCCAUCGGCUUCGAUUCACCACUGAUGUUCAGUUAGGUAUUUCUGGAGACAAGGUAGAGAUAGACCCUGUUACUAAUCAGAAGGCCAGCACGAAGUUUUGGAUUAAGCAGAAACCCAUUUCAAUCGAUUCUGAACUCCUCUGUGCCUGUGACCUUGCGGAAGAAAAAAGCCCAAGAGGCUAAGGACGGCGCCCGGGUCACUGCCUCCCGGAGCAGCUGUCCUGCACGUGUCCCCUGCCGUAGGGCAGAAACCGGCACUGCUUUUGCUCUAGCACGGGAGAGAUGGCCGAUUCGACCACGUAGGUUCGGCGUUGAUUUGUCAGGUUUCAUCCACCGGAGAAGGUGGCUGGCAGCGAAUCCGUCUGCCCGGCUGGAGGAGCAGCCAGCUUGGUCAAGGCGUUGCUGUCCGCGUCGGGUGGCGGGGGCGAGAGCAGCUCCGGCCUCGGUGCUGCGCAACUUAGCCAAAACUUAUUAAAUACCUCCAAGAGUCAAUAGCCUUUUCAUAAAAGUACUCUGGAGCACAAUCAGGAGCGUGCAUUGCCUCAUCCUUUUAACAAAUAUGUUUUGUAGCCCUAUUAAAAGGGGUCUUCAUCUAUCCUGUCAAAGCUAGUCUGCUGGGGUUUUUUAGUUUAAUUACACUAUCCAAUUAAAACUCCGUGCUGCAUUUUGAUGCGCUUCUCCUUGGGCUUGAGUGGAGAUGACAUUUACAAGGCUCGCCUUCCGAGCAGACAAUGGCGUGAUUGAUGAGGUGCAGGCGCCGGGAAGGAGGCGAUUGCCAUGUGGAAACUCUGCUUAGUGCCUUUUGAUUUAUUUAUCAUCUCCUUCCAAAACAAGGUUGCUGGUGAAGAGGUUUUGGGCAAGCCUCGGUUCCUCCUCAAUUUUCACCAUUCUUGAAAAAAUCUUUAUUAGUUUUCUGCCUUUGAUAAUAAUUGAAUGAAGAAAUAAAAGGCUUUGAAAAAAGAUUCCAGAUGUGUGAAUAGUUACCGUAAUUUGACAUUAAACUGGUCAUACGCUGCACUUUCUUAAUUGCAACUCUGCUUUCAGGACAUCUGGAAACAAGGCAUCCACUAAUAGCAAUGUUUUAUAAUGUGCCUAUGGUAGAAUAUAAAGAUCUGAGUUGUGGGGAAAGUGUUCUGGAAAUACGCUGCUCCUGGAAAAACGGAAUGGGCCAGUAAAACUACAGCUUUCCUUUAACUCUCCCCGGUGCAUCACUCUUGCAUCUGUAUGGUUUGUCCCUACUCCAGCGCUGCCUGUGUCGAAGGGGUGGUCAGGUUUGCGGUGCAGGAUCCCAGCUCUCCAAGUCGGUACGUUUUCCAUUGACGUCGGUGGGGUCGGGAUUUCAUCCGUAGCUUCUACGGUAGUCGCUACUUUUGAGGUACAGAUCAGCUCUAAAAAAUGCACCCACUUCUCUUGGAGAAAUAUCCAUUACACAAAAUGGGCUUAACCCCACGUUUUGCACUCAGAGCAAUAUCCCCAGUAGAUCUGUAUCGCUGAUGGAGCUCGGGACUGUGCCCCUGCUAGACCUAGCUGCUGCUGUGGUGCAGCUAAGACUCGUAGCAUCGCCCUAGGCGCAUAAGAGAAGUAAAUGCGUCUCUUUUAUAAAGCAAGAUUUUUGCAGUAAUGGAAAGGAGACAGGGGCUAAUGAGUAGAUGCAGGGAUGGGGCUGCCGGAGGCAGGUGUCGGGGUCCAGGUGCCCCUGUUACCGCAAGUUUUGCGGGUGAGGUGCCCAGGGAAGGGACGGUGCCCAGCGCUGCUGCCCGUCCUCCUCACGUGGGUCGGGCCCUUUCGUCCACUAGUCUCAAACAACAAGAAAAUGGAUUCUCUAAAUGAGUGGUUUUCUGCAAGAAACUUUUCCUCCUGUUAUUUGUAAGUUUUCUUGUUCAUUAGACGUUUAUGAAAGCUGUUGUUUUGAUGCUAAUGCAAUACUUGCAUUUUUGUGGGACCUUCAGACCCUAUUCCAGGGUCAGAGCAUCAUUUUUUGAAGCAUCAUAUAUGGAUUCAAAAUAGCAGAGUUCCUCCCCAGAGCUUUUAGAUUAAAUAUAACACUGGUUGAUGGAGAAAUAUUAUAUCAUUUCAUUUGGAAAGUUUUAAGUAAAUUUACUUUUAUUUUAUUUUCAUGAUUCCUAGCCUGUUUACUAGUGUAUUUUUAACUCUUUGCAAUCCCUUCCAAGUCUGUGAGAAAAAGAACUCAAGAUUUAGUCCUGUCGAAGUAACCCACUUUUGAAAUGGUGAAAAGCUGCAGUCCUGUCGAAUGAUGGCCGUGUAACCCACACGGGGACUCAUUAGCAUUCGAAGGUUAGAAAAGAUUUAUCAAAAACAGAGCUAAGGUCAAAGGGCGCCUGCGCCAGCUCUCUCCGGCAGUGAAGAGGAUGGAGGGGCUCGGUGAAGCAGCAGCUAACCAAGACGGAGGUCAUGCAAUAUUUAAACUUACAUAUCUAAGCAAUCAUGACUACAAACACCUUUACUUUGAAUCAGAUGCUGCUACCGUCAAUGAAAUUGUGCUGAAGGUGAACUACAUCCUGGAGUCGCGAGCGAGCACGGCCAGAGCAGAGUAUUUUGCUCAGAAACAAAGAAAACUGA